rnacentral:snoRNA from 1 species
AGCAAAAGGAGGAGACUGUAUGAUGUGAAAUACCUCAUGUUGAUACAUGAUUCAUGGUCUUCAAAGUUCUCUGAUUGUU